AGAAGAAAAUCUGCAUGGGGAACGGGAAAAUCAAAACAAAACUGAAAUACUCGAACCAAAUAGAAAAAUGGCGAUUUCACUGAGGGAAUACGUGCUCAAACUCAACUAGGGAAGAAAACGAACUUCAACAUAGGAGUAACAGAAAUAUAUUACCAAUUACCGGUUACUGGGUAAGGAGAUAACAUAAUCUGAUAGAGAGGACAUUCG
rnacentral:lncRNA from 1 species